AUGCAAGUCGAACGAACCUUCGGGUUAGUGGCGGACGGGUGAGUAACGCGUGAGAAUCUGCCCUCAGGAGGGGGAUAACGGGCUGGAAACGGCCGCUAAUACCCCAUAUGCCGAGAGGUGAAAUGAAUUUCGCCUGAGGGAUUGAGCUCGCGUCUGAUUAGCUAGUUGGUGCGGUAAAGGCUCACCAAGGCAUCGAUCAGUAGCUGGUCUGAGAGGAUGAUCAGCCACACUGGGACUGAGACACGGCCCAGACUCC
rnacentral:rRNA from 2 species